UUAAUAUAAAAAACAAGCAAAGAGAGAGGAAUCGAUCAUCUUCUCUCUUUUUCCAUAGUUCCUUCACCUUCCUCUUUCUUCUCUGUUCACAUCACAAACCUUAAAAGAAAAAUAUUCUUAGCAUACCAAAACUGAAAUCUAACCUCAAACCUCACACAAACAAGAUCAUACAACCUAGAAAAACAAAAAUCUGAAAUCGAGAACACCAACAACAGACAUUCAAGAUCAAACAAGAAAGCCCUUAAAUUGGCACCGUUUUUCCUUUUGAAGCCCAAACCCGUGAAUCUCUCAAUAAAUAAAUGGAAAGAGAUUUUUGACUUUUCAACAAGCAAAUCAGAGAAUAAAAAAAGAGGAAGAGAUGAAGGUUACCCCAAAAUGAUGAAGACAACUCCGACGGGAUGACCACGGUUUUAUCAAGACCUUAAGUUGAACUUUUGAUGAUGUUUGGCCAAUGUGAAUUGAAAAAUGAAGAAAAGAGGCUAGAAGACUUGAUUAUGAUGGUGAUUUUUGACAAGUUUGGAAGCACGCAAAAGAACCAAAGGCAUACUUGAAUUAGUUGAAGAUUAACUUAGAAAAAUAGGGCUUGAGAUGUUUGGCUUUCAAAUUAUGUAACAAGAGCAAAAAGUGUGUAACCAUUCUAAUAUACUAUAAGUUCUUAAUGCAAUGUUAAUGAUAAAAAAAAUCAAUUUGAA